rnacentral:rRNA from 1 species
GACGAACGCUGGCGGCGUGCCUAAUACAUGCAAGUCGAGCGGAGCGGCGGACGGGGGAGUAAUGCCUAGGAAUCUGCCUGUUAGUGGGGGAUAACGUCCGGAAACGGGCGCUAAUACCGCAUACUAUCAGAUGAGCCUAGGUCGGAUUAGCUAGUUGGUGGGGUAGAGGCUUACCAAGGCGACGAUCCUUAACUGGUCUGAGUGGAGGAUCAGUCACACUGGAACUGAGACACGGUCCAGACUCCUACGGGAGGCAGCAGUGGGGAAUCUUGGACAAUGGGCGAAAGCCUGAUCCAGCCAUGCCGCGUGUGUGAAGAAGGUCUUCGGAUUGUAAAGCACUUUAAGUUGGGAGGCGUUACCAACAGAAUAAGCACCGGCUAACUUCGUGCCAGCCGCCGCGGUAAUUC